UGUUGGACUCCAGCAAGUUGCCUCAAAAGUUU
rnacentral:piRNA from 1 species